GCAGCAGUAGGGAAUCUUCCACAAUGGACGAAAGUCUGAUGGAGCAAUACCAUGUGAACGAUGAAGGCCUUUUUGGUUGUAAAGUUCUUUUACGAGGGAUAAUUAUGAUAGUACUUCGUGAAUAAGUGACAGCAAACUAUGUGCCAGCAGCUGCGGUAAUACAUAGGUCGCAAGCAUUAUUCGGAUUUAUUGGGCGUAAAGCAAGCGCAGGCGGAUGUGUAAGUUCUGUGUUAAAUGCAGCUACUCAAUAGUUGUAUGCACCGAAUACUACAUGUCUAGAUUGUGGUAGGGAGUUUCGGAAUUAAGCAUGGAGCGGUGGAAUGUGUAGAUAUGCUUAAGAACACCAGAGGCGAAGGCGGAAACUUAGGCCAUAAAUGACGCUUAGGCUUGAAAGUGUGGGGAGCAAAUGGGAUUAGAUACCCCAGUAGUCCACACCGUAAACGAUGGGUAUUAGAUAUUAGGGCUUUAGCUUUAGUGUUGUAGCUUACGCGUUAAAUACCCCGCCUGGGUAGUACAUAUGCAAAUAUGAAACUCAAAGGAAUUGACGGGGACCUGAACAAGUGGUGGAGCAUGUUGCUUAAUUCGAUAAUACACGAAAAACCUUACCAAGGUUUGACAUCCCUCGCAAAGCUAUAGAAAUAAGAGAGU
rnacentral:rRNA from 1 species